AACGAACGCUGGCGGCAUGCCUAACACAUGCAAGUCGAACGAGACCUUCGGGUCUAGUGGCGCACAGGUGCGUAACGCGUGGGAACCUGCCUUUAGGUUCGGAAUAACUCAGAGAAAUUUGAGCUAAUACCGGAUGAUGUCUUCGGACCAAAGAUUUAUCGCCUUUAGAUGGGCCCGCGUUGGAUUAGCUAGUUGGUGGGGUAAAGGCCUACCAAGGCGACGAUCCAUAGCUGGUCUGAGAGGAUGAUCAGCCACACUGGGACUGAGACACGGCCCAGACUCCUACGGGAGGCAGCAGUGGGGAAUAUUGGACAAUGGGCGAAAGCCUGAUCCAGCAAUGCCGCGUGAGUGAUGAAGGCCUUAGGGUUGUAAAGCUCUUUUACCCGAGAUGAUAAUGACAGUAUCGGGAGAAUAAGCUCCGGCUAACUCCGUG
rnacentral:rRNA from 1 species